ACGCGCGACGCGACCGGCAACGCUCUCCGCUCUCGUUCGUUCGCUCGUUUUGACGAUAAUUCGCGUCGAUGUUUUCGCGCAUCGCACAUUUCAGCCGUGCAGUAGGAUAGAAUUUCCAGAGAGGAGGCGACUUGUCGCGCGCAGCGAGACCCUUUCGAGAUGGCAACCGUGAGACGCAGACGCGCCGUGUGCAGUUCGCGCGGUGAAUGAGAAUACACAUUUUAUCACGCUUAUUCAGCAAUGAUAAGGAUGCAUACCCGUUUCUCAGGAGGGGCUCGUCAAAAUGCGAAGGGAGUCCCCGAUUGCUUGCCAGGACAUCACUCCUGCGGAAAGAGUGACGCAUUCUCCUGCCAGAAUUCUGCCACCGUCCCGCCGAUCCCAUUAACUUCUCAAAAUUGCUUGGCACAGCGAGAGUGAGAAGAAUAUUUUGCGAACCCGAUUUCAUCAAUCUUUAUUCAAUAUUAUAGUACAACUUGGAAUGAAAUGGAAUUAAUAUUGAAAAUGAAAUUACUUAAGUGUUUCUCUUUAAUUUGGAAUUAUCUAUUAUUUAAUAUUAUCUAUAAUAAUACUUAUCAUACCACAAUUUGAGAAAAUGUCGAUUAUUUAAUUUUAAAUGAACAAUUUUAUAAAAAUUGAA